AACCAUCUUUGAGCCAUUAAUAGACAUUUUAAUUUAGAGAGUUUCUACAUAAUAUUUAUUCGGUAGGUAUUCUAUAAGUGCAAUUGCUAGGCCAGACAGAAAUGCUUGGAAAUUGAACAGGAGGUCCAUUAUAAGUACAAGAGAAUUGAUAACGAGUACUGCAGCAUAAACGUUGUUCAAAGUGAGUCAUUAUCUUUAUUAUUUUGUUCUGAGAAAGUGAGCAUUGUGUGGACGCGCCUUAAAAGUAUUGUAAUAUUGUCGCGCAUCGUCCUUUUCGGGUUGAUCGAUCGGGCGGCGAAAAUCUGAUCAAGGUCGUAUAGGUAAAAAAAAAAAAAAUUUAAAAAAAUAAUAAUAAUAAUAGUAUACACGCGGUCCGAACGGCGGCGCGAACAACAAGUGGAUAUGAGGAGGAGCGUGGAUGGGGACGAGGAUGACGAGGAGGAGUAGGAGGACAACCAUCGUCGAGUUCAUUCGACAUUUUCGGCGGCUGCAGUCUCGUGUGUAUAACCUAGGUACCUAUAUGUGUAUAUUUGGGUUAAGCGGAAUAAUAUUAUUAUUAUUAUUAUUAUUACUAUUAUUAUCAUUAUUAUUAUUAUUAUUAUUCUACAUUAUAGGUGUUCGGGUACGUUCGCACAGAGCGCGCCGUGCUCGCACACACACGCACGUGGAGAGGGUACGGCCUGAAUAUC